UCUAAAAAAUAAACCGUUACUCGUCAUACUUCGGGUUACAUGUGCUGCGGCUGCGUUCAUUCACCCCAGUCACUUACUUUAGUAAGCUCCUGGGAUUCAUUCACUUGCCGCCUUCCUGUAAACCGAAUUAUAUAGAGUAAAAUAUUUGAUUAUCCUUUGCGCGGCAUGAUGUCGCGCUUUUUUU
rnacentral:sRNA from 1 species